GCCGAAGUGGUGGAAUUGGUAUACACGCAGCACUCAAAAUGCUGUGCUCUCUGAGCAUGUGGGUUCGACUCCCACCUUCGGUA
rnacentral:tRNA from 1 species